CUUCAACGAGCCCAGCAGCAGGGGGCGUUCCCGGUCCUGACCGUAGGUGGCCAGCAGCGCGCCGGCCUC
rnacentral:antisense_RNA from 1 species